AGGAAUCUGCCUUCCACUCUGGGAUAACUCCGGGAAACCGGGGCUAAUACCGGAUAUUUUCAACUGGCGGCAUCGCCGGUUGAAGAAAGUUUUUCGGUGGAAGAUGACCUCGCGGCCUAUCAGCUUGUUGGUGAGGUAAAGGCUCACCAAGGCGACGACGGGUAGCCGGCCUGAGAGGGUGACCGGCCACACUGGGACUGAGACACGGCCCAGACUCCUACGGGAGGCAGCAGUGGGGAAUAUUGGGCAAUGGAGGAAACUCUGACCCAGCGACGCCGCGUGAGGGAUGAAGGCCUUCGGGUUGUAAACCUCUUUCAGCAGGGAAUAAGCGAAAGUGAAGGUACCUGCAGAAGAAGCACCGGCUAACUAUGUGCCAGCAGCCGCGGUAAUACAUAGGGUGCAAGCGUUGUCCGGAAUUAUUGGGCGUAAAGAGCUCGUAGGUGGUCGAUCACGUCGGAUGUGAAAAUCUGAGGCUUAACCUCAGACCUGCAUUCGAUACGGGUUGACUAGAGUGUGGUAGGGGAGACUGGAGUUCCUGGUGUAGCGGUGGAAUGCGCAGAUAUCAGGAGGAACACCGAUGGCGAAGGCAGGUCUCUGGGCCAUUACUGACACUGAGGAGCGAAAGCGUGGGGAGCGAACAGGAUUAGAUACCCUGGUAGUCCACGCCGUAAACGGUGGGCGCUAGUUGUGGGAACCUUCCACGGUUUCUGCGACGCAGCUAACGCAUUAAGCGCCCCGCCUGGGGAGUACGGUCGCAAGACUAAAACUCAAAGAAAUUGACGGGGCCCCGCACAAGCAGCGGAGCAUGCGGCUUAAUUCGACGCAACGCGAAGAACCUUACCAAGGCUUGACAUAUACAGGAAUACGGCAGAGAUGUCGU
rnacentral:rRNA from 1 species